GGAAUCUUCCACAAUGGGCGCAAGCCUGAUGGAGCAACACCGCGUGAGUGAAGAAGGGUUUCGGCUCGUAAAGCUCUGUUGUUAAAGAAGAACACGUAUGAGAGUAACUGUUCAUACGUUGACGGUAUUUAACCAGAAAGUCACGGCUAACUACGUGCCGA
rnacentral:rRNA from 1 species